ACCUAUGUGGCACAAUGGUUCACUGCAUCUGGCUGUUAACCAGAAGGUUGGUGCUUGAAGCCCAGCCUGGGAUU